UACGUAGGGCGCAAGCGUUGUCCGGAAUUACUGGGCGUAAAGCGCGUGUAGGCGGCAGCGUGUGUCGGGCGUGAAAUCCCACGGCUCAACCGUGGAAGUGCACUCGAAACUGCGCAGCUAGAGUCCUGGAGAGGAAGGUGGAAUGCUUGGUGUAGAGGUGAAAUUCGUAGAUAUCAAGCGGAACACCGGUGGCGAAGGCGGCCUUCUGGACAGUGACUGACGCUGAGACGCGAAAGCGUGGGGAGCAAACAGG
rnacentral:rRNA from 1 species